AUAGCAGCCUUUUGAUAAAAUAGUAUCAAUAAAGUCCUAUGGUCAAUAGUAUUGAAAAAAUUUCCUCUUCUCGUUACAAUUUCGAGGGGUGGGGUUAUUCAAUAUUGUCAACCUCAGAACUUGAUAUUUUAUUUUGAUUCCAAAAGGAUGAAAGACAAAGCGAAUUUCGACAAGGUCACCUUUCAUGGCCAAUUUUGCCAAUUUGCCUUUCAUACUUUCAUGGCCAAUAAAAUAAAAUACCAGCCAAAUACUAGAGUCAGUGGUCCCCUCCAAAUUUCUGACCUUAUACCUACAUCAGAAGCCAUUAUUAUGACAUCAUUCUACUGAAUAUGGUGUUUGGUUUUAUCCUUUUACAAGGUGAAUUUUAUCUUCUUUAUUUCAGAAGUUGAUAAAAUAAUUACAAAGUACCAAUGACAUAUUGGAGUUAAUUUAAUCAAAUGCAUCUUUCAUAUAAGCAGCUGUGAUGUUGUGCCCAUGGUAGAAAGAGAUGGCAGAUUAGAGAAUUGGUUCAGAUUCUGUGGAGGCCAAGUUUACCCAUCAUCCUUUUAGUGUCAAUAUAAUCAUCAAAACUCCUAAAAUUGCUGGUCUUGUGCCAAAAUUUGAAACAGUUAGAAAAGGUGGUGAGCUUGUAGAAUUAUACUCAUGCCAGACAAAACACUAAGUGGUAUUCCUUCUGCCACCAAGGUCAACUUUGCCUUUCAUCCUCAAGGGG